rnacentral:rRNA from 1 species
UUGGUUAAGUUAGAAAGGGCGCACGGUGGAUGCCUUGGCACUAGGAGCCGAAGAAGGACGGGACUAACACCGAUAUGCUUUGGGGAGCUGUACGUAAGCGUUGAUCCAGAGAUUUCCGAAUGGGGGAACCCACUAUCUUUAGUCGGAUAGUAUCCUUACGUGAAUACAUAGCGUGAGGAAGGCAGACCCAGGGAACUGAAACAUCUAAGUACCUGGAGGAAGAGAAAGAAAAAUCGAUUUCCUGAGUAGCGGCGAGCGAAACGGAAAGAGCCCAAACCAAGAAGCUUGCUUCUUGGGGUUGUAGGACACUCUAUACGGAGUUACAAAAGAAAGUUAUAAAUGAAGCGGUCUGGAAAGGCCCGCCAAAGACGGUAACAGCCCGGUAGUUGAAAUGGCUUUCCCUCCAGAGUGGAUCCUGAGUACGGCGGAACACGUGAAAUUCCGUCGGAAUCCGGGAGGACCAUCUCCCAAGGCUAAAUACUCCCUAGUGACCGAUAGUGAACCAGUACCGUGAGGGAAAGGUGAAAAGCACCCCGGAAGGGGAGUGAAACAGUUCCUGAAACCGUGUGCCUACAAGUAGUUAGAGCCCGUUAAUGGGUGAUAGCGUGCCUUUUGUAGAAUGAACCGGCGAGUUACGAUUUGUUGCAAGGUUAAGCGGAAAAAGCGGAGCCGUAGCGAAAGCGAGUCUGAAUAGGGCGCAUAAGUAACAGGUCGUAGACCCGAAACCAGGUGAUCUACCCAUGUCCAGGAUGAAGGUAAGGUAAUACUUACUGGAGGUCCGAACCCACGCACGUUGAAAAGUGCGGGGAUGAGGUGUGGGUAGCGGAGAAAUUCCAAUCGAACUUGGAGAUAGCUGGUUCUCUCCGAAAUAGCUUUAGGGCUAGCCUCGAGGUAAAGAGUCAUGGAGGUAGAGCACUGUUUGGACUAGGGGCCCUUCUCGGGUUACCGAAUUCAGAUAAACUCCGAAUGCCAUGUACUUAUACUCGGGAGUCAGACUGCGAGUGAUAAGAUCCGUAGUCGAAAGGGAAACAGCCCAGACCACCAGUUAAGGUCCCCAAAUAUAUGUUAAGUGGAAAAGGAUGUGGGGUUGCUUAGACAACCAGGAUGUUGGCUUAGAAGCAGCCACCAUUGAAAGAGUGCGUAAUAGCUCACUGGUCGAGUGACCCCGCGCCGAAAAUGUACCGGGGCUAAACAUAUUACCGAAACUGUGGAUGAACCUCUUUAGAGGUUCGUGGUAGGAGAGCGUUCUAAGGGCGGUGAAGUCAGACCGGAAGGACUGGUGGAGCGCUUAGAAGUGAGAAUGCCGGUAUGAGUAGCGAAAGAAGGGUGAGAAUCCCUUCCACCGAAUAUCUAAGGUUUCCUGAGGAAGGCUCGUCCGCUCAGGGUUAGUCGGGACCUAAGCCGAGGCCGAUAGGCGUAGGCGAUGGACAACAGGUAGAGAUUCCUGUACCAGUGCUAAUUGUUUAACCGAUGGGGUGACACAGAAGGAUAGGGAAUCGCACGAAUGGAAAUGUGCGUCCAAGCAGUGAGUGUGAGAAGUAGGCAAAUCCGCUUCUCGCGAAGCAUGAGCUGUGAUGGGGAAGGAAAUUAAGUACGGAAGUUCCUGAUUUCACGCUGUCAAGAAAAGCCUCUAGGAAGAGUAGUACUGCCCGUACCGCAAACCGACACAGGUAGAUGAGGAGAGAAUCCUAAGGUGAGCGAGAGAACUCUCGUUAAGGAACUCGGCAAAAUGACCCCGUAACUUCGGGAGAAGGGGUGCUCUAUUAGGGUGCAAGCCCGAGAGAGCCGCAGUGAAUAGGCCCAGGCGACUGUUUAGCAAAAACACAGGUCUCUGCAAAACCGUAAGGUGACGUAUAGGGGCUGACGCCUGCCCGGUGCUGGAAGGUUAAGAGGAGUGCUUAGCUUCGGCGAAGGUACGAAUUGAAGCCCCAGUAAACGGCGGCCGUAACUAUAACGGUCCUAAGGUAGCGAAAUUCCUUGUCGGGUAAGUUCCGACCCGCACGAAAGGCGCAACGAUCUGGGCACUGUCUCAACGAGAGACUCGGUGAAAUUAUAGUACCUGUGAAGAUGCAGGUUACCCGCGACAGGACGGAAAGACCCCGUGGAGCUUUACUGCAACCUGAUAUGGAAUGUUUGUACCGCUUGUACAGGAUAGGUAGGAGCCGAAGAGACGUGUGCGCUAGCAUACGAGGAGGCAAUGGUGGGAUACUACCCUGGCUGUAUGACCAUUCUAACCCGCCACGCUUAGCGCGUGGGGAGACAGUGUCAGGUGGGCAGUUUGACUGGGGCGGUCGCCUCCUAAAGAGUAACGGAGGCGCCCAAAGGUUCCC